GGCGAGGCGGGGGCCACGGCCGCCGGCGCAGCCCCGGCCCCCCGCGCCGCACCGCGUCGGCGGCCGCUCCGGGGAGACUCGGCUCCGGGCGGCGCCGGCCUUCGCUGAUGGGGCCCUGACGGCCCGCGCGGACGCGGGGCGAGCGCAACGGCGGCGGCGGCAUGCCGGAGCAGCGGCUCACCGCCGAGCCACCAACUAUUACAGAAGCAGAAUUUGAGAAUUCUUUGGCAACAGAUAAUUUCCUCGUGGAGUACUUUAAUGAAUUUCUAAGUCUUCCAACCUUUUCAGAGGCAAUUAGAUUUAACGCAGAUUAUGGAGUUUUUGAAGUCAUUAACAAUGCCCCACAACUUCUGGAGAAGCAACUGAAAAAAAUUCUGCAAAGCCAGCAACCUCGCAAUCCCAUCUAUGAUGUUGUAAGGAAAGGGAAGAAUGAUGUUCAGCCAUUUCAAGUGAAUGUGCCCUAUGAAGAUGAGACCCUUAAUGUCAACUACAAUAUUAUGUGUCUCAGUCGUGAACAAGGCAUUCAGUGGAUCAAGAAAGAAAGGCUUCCAGCGUUUCUGGAAAGUGAUUGCUAUUUUGAAUACAGGUUAGCCAAGCUGGUUUCACAAGUGAGAUGGAGUAGAUCAGGCAUGACUAUCAUGGUAGAUACAGACAUUUCUCCCUGGGUCUUGAGGAAACCACCCACUCCGCCUCCUCCCCCCACUGAAGAUGACAACACUAUCCUUAUGAAAAAGUUCUACGUUUCUCUUGGCGAGGCCUCCUCUACUCAAACAAAAGAUUGGUUCGCACUAGCAAGACAAAGUCAGCAUACAGUAUCAACCUUUCCAUUACCAUCUGCUGUACACCACAGCAGAACUGAACCACCAGUUAUUUCAUCUGAAUCUGAGAGUCUUAUCUUUGAUGAUGGAGUUCACCCCAGGACGAAAAAGCGGCCAUCUAAAACCACUAGCUUAAUUUCGGUGGAGGUCGAAGAAGAAGACGGGUCUGUCUCUCUACAAGACACUCCUUCUCACGCGCUUCUGAGAAUAUAUCUCGAGAAGAAAUCGGGUGCUGGCGAAAACCUGACAUUGCAUUUCUCGACAUGUGAAGAAUUUUUAAGAUCUUAUAUAACCUUUACUUUGAAAGCAGCAAUUCAUGAAAUGUUUGGGCAGCCAUUUUUAGAAAGCCAGGAUGUUAUAAGCUUCAAAAAUGUAACAGAAGUGAUAGUUGAUCAGUGUCCUGAGCUUAUUUCUGACAAGAACGUUUUGUUGAGUGAAACAACACAACCCCCAGAGGGAAAGGCGGAAGAGAUGUUGGAAGAAACAAGUUCAAAGAGUGAGAGUGUUGGGUCAGAAAGUAGAGCUGAUUGGUGUGUUUCUCACAAAACUUACGACAUUGGCAACCGAAAGGAGUUCGAAAGAUUUAAGAAAUUUAUCAAAGGUACAUUAGGGGAGAGAUAUUGGUGGCUAUGGAUGGAUAUUGAGAGAUUAAAAGUUCUUAAGGAUUCUGGAAGACAUCAAAGACAUCUUGAGAAGAUGAAAAAGCGCUAUCUAGCGAGCAGUGGCGAUUGCUACCUUUCUGCAGAAAUCUUAACAAAAUUUAAACUGCUAGAUGGAUCUCAGUGGAAUAAUGAACACUUAAGAAAUAUUCAGACUGAGGUUGUAAAACCCUUACUUCUGUAUUGGGCACCAAGAUUCUGUGUGACCCAUUCAUAUGCAAUAAAACACGCUAGUGCUGAGCUGAAACUGUGGCACCUCCGUCAAGAGAAACCAAGGAAGGAUGUGGACCCUUUCCCCCAAAUACCAACCCUCUUGCCUUUAAGACCUAAGUCUUGCACUCCACAGCUAUCUGAUAUACAGAAAGAAGAAUCCAGUUUAGUACAACUUUCUAAAUCUCCCAAGAAACCAUCUACAGCAAUUCAAAGACCUUGGAAGAGCGAGACUUGGUAUUCAGUUUCUUCCAAGGAUGACGUGGCCGAGAAAGGGUCACGAUACAAGAGAGACAGCAACGAAGUUAUUUGUUUAACAUCUUUUACUGACAUUUCUGAAUGUCUGAAGCCCCACCUGGAUAGAAAAUAUACUUAUACAGAAGAACCUUUGGUUAAAACCACAGCAGAUGGUGCCUUGGGAGGAUUUGACAUGGAGAAUUUGUUGCAAUCUUUGUAUGUAGAAAAUAGAUCUGGAUUCUUCUUUACUAAAUUCUGUGAGCAUUCAGGGAACAAGUUGUGGCAGAACUGUGUGUACUUCUGGUUUGACCUCCAGGCUUAUCAUCAGCUUUUCUACCAAGACACACUUCACCCUGUGAAAGUGUGCAAGCAGGCCCAGUAUCUUUUUGCCACAUAUGUUGCUCCUUCGGCCACUCUUGACAUCGGACUCCAACAGGAAAAGAAAAGAGAAAUUUAUAUGAAGAUACAGCCACCAUUUGAAGACCUUUUUGACACAGCAGAGGAAUAUAUCCUUCUCCUGCUGCUCGAGCCCUGGACAAUGAUGGUGAAGUCAGACCAGAGCGCUUACAGACAGGUGAACUUGAUGGAGGAAACUCGACAGCUAGACUCCAUAUGCUUUAGAAAGCUACAGGCUUUGCAUAAAGUGAUGCAUUCCAAGAAAGCUGAGGACACUACUCCUGAAAUUGAAACUGGUAUUUCACAACAUCCUGAUAUCCCUAAGGAAACACAAUACUGGAAUAACGUUCCUGCAGAAUAUAGGCAUUUUGCUUUUGAUGAUCUGCUUAAAAACAAACUGGAGUUUGAACAUUUCCGUCAGUUUCUUGAGGCUCAUUCAUCCAGCAUGGACCUCAUGUGCUGGGCAGACAUCGAGCAGUUCCGAAGAAUAAGUUACAAAGAUCAAAAGGAAAGGGAGGCAAAAUCUAUGUAUAUUAAAAACAAAUACCUUAAUAAAAAAUAUUUCUUUGGACCUAACAGCCCCGCUUCUCUGCGCCAGCAGGACAAGAUAAUGAAUAUGAGUGGUGGCUGGGGAAGGAUUCUCCAUGAGCAGCUUGAUGCACCUGUUCUACUUGAAGUUCAGAAGCGUGUCCUAGAUAGGCUAGAAAACGUGUGGUUGCCAUUGUUUCUUGCAAGUGAACAGUUUGCAGCACGUCAAAAGAUAAAGGUACAGCUGAGAGACAUAGCUGAAGAGUUCUUACUACUGAAACAUGAAGGGAAAAUUGGGAUUUGGAAGCCUGUGGAGAGUAAGUGGAUAUCUUCAUCUAGUGAAAUCAUUGCUUUUCGUAAAGCAUUAUUGAAUCCAGUUACUGCAAGACAAUUUCAACGGUUUGUGGCUCUAAAAGGAGAUUUACUGGAAAACGGGGUGCUCUUUUGGCAAGAAGUACAAAAAUAUAAGGACUUGUGCCACUCUCACUGUGAAGAGUCCAUCAUCCAGAAUAAGAUCACGACUAUUAUCAACUGCUUCAUUAAUUCCAGUAUUCCCCCAGCUUUACAAAUUGACAUCCCGUGGGAGCAAGCCCAGAAGAUUAUUGAGCACAGGAAGGAGUUAGGACCAUAUGUGUUUAGAGAGGCCCAGAUGACAAUUUUUGGGGUUCUGUUUAAAUUUUGGCCUCAGUUUUGUGAGUUUAGGAAGAACUUAACUGAUGAAAAAAUAAUGAGUGUUUUAGAGAGAAGACAAGAAUAUAAGAAAAAGAAAUUGGCAGUUGCAGAAGAUGAAAAACUUGCAAAGGAUGGAGUUAAACAAUAUGCAAGUGCUUCAGGAGCUGCUGUCAAAAUAGGUGGUUUAGUCAGCGACUCAGUUUUAGGCUUGCAAGCAUACGGCCGACAGCCAAGCUGGUGCUACUCAAAAUAUAUAGAAGCCUUAGAACAGGAAAGGAUUCUUCUUAAAGUUCAAGAAGAACUAGAAAAGAAGUUGUUUGCAGUUCUGCCUUUGCCCUGGCCAUUCUGAAUAUAGAGGGCAGGAAGAUGUGAGGACUGACUCCCUCCCAACUGAUCUGACCCCUCGAGUUAUGAGAAUUUUCGUGUGUGUGAGUGCGUGUGUGAGAGUGUGUGUGUGUGUGUGUGUGUGUGUGAGUGUGUGUGUCUGGUUUCUCUCUCUCUCUCUUUGCUGAGGAGGAACAACAUACACCUAACACUUCAUCCGUCUCCACAGUGACAGCAUUCAUGAAUUCUUUAAAUCAAAUGCGACUGGCCUGGGAGCGUGAGUGAUUUUUCAGUGGUCUGCGUUAGAGCAAGCCUGCCAUCUAAAUAAAGUUUGACUUGUUUUCCUCCCACAGUUUUAAAAUUAUAGCUAUUCUGUGCACAGGACAUACAGACUAUAAAAGUUUUAAAACUUAUUUAGAAUCAAACUACUAUGUAGGUUAGAAAAAAAA